CUAGCAAUAGGUAUGCUUAGGGAAGAGCUUGCGUCACAUUAGUUAGUUGGUGGGGUAAUGGCCUACCAAGACGAUGAUGUGUAGCCGGGCUGAGAGGUCGAACGGCCACAUUGGGACUGAGACACGGCCCAAACUCCUACGGGAGGCAGCAGUAAGGAAUUUUCGGCAAUGGAGGAAACUCUGACCGAGCAAUGCCGCGUGAACGAUGAAGUAUUUCGGUACGUAAAGUUCUUUUAUUAGGGAAGAAAAGAUGGUGGAAAAACCAUUAUGACGGUACCUAAUGAAUAAGCCCCGGCUAACUAUGUGCCAGCAGCCGCGGUAAUACAUAGGGGGCAAGCGUUAUCCGGAAUUAUUGGGCGUAAAGGGUGCGUAGGCGGUUAAAUAAGUUUAUGGUCUAAGUGCAACGCUCAACGUUGUGAUGCUAUAAAAACUGUUUAGCUAGAGUUGGAUAGAGGCAAGUGGAAUUCCGUGUGUAGUGGUAAAAUGCGUAAAUAUACGGAGGAACACCAGAAGCGAAGGCGGCUUGCUGGGUCUUAACUGACGCUGAGGCACGAAAGCGUGGGGAGCAAACAGGAUUAGAUACCCUGGUAGUCCACGCCCUAAACGAUGAGUACUAAACGUUGGAUAAAACCAGUGUUGAAGUUAACACAUUAAGUACUCCGCCUGAGUAGUACGUACGCAAGUAUGAAACUUAAAGGAAUUGACGGGACUCCGCACAAGCGGUGGAUCAUGUUGUUUAAUUCGAAGGUACCCGAAAAACCUCACCAGGUCUUGACAUGCUUUUGCAAAGCUGUAGAAAUACAGUGGAGGUUAUCAGAAGCACAGGUGGUGCAUGGUUGUCGUCAGCUCGUGUCGUGAGAUGUUGGGUUAAGUCCCGCAACGAGCGCAACCCUUGUUGUUAAUUGCCAUCAUUAAGUUGGGGACUUUAGCAAGACUGCCAAUGAUAAAUUGGAGGAAGGUGGGGACGACGUCAAAUCAUCAUGCCCCUUAUGACCUGGGCUACAAACGUGAUACAAUGGCUGUUACAAAGGGUAGCUAAAGCGUAAGCUUCUGGCGAAUCUCAAAAAAGCAGUCUCAGUUCGGAUUGAAGUCUGCAACUCGACUUCAUGAAGUUGGAAUCGCUAGUAAUCGCGAAUCAGCAUGUCGCGGUGAAUACGUUCU
rnacentral:rRNA from 1 species